CCGGAAACUUUUAUUAUGGCGAAAUCACAGAUCAGUGGACAAAAUAUUACUUCAAUGUGAAGGGAAAUGUAUUUUUACAAAUAUUGUAUGGAUUUCACACAAGUUUCUUUCCAUGGUUCUUUGGCAAGUAAUUCCACUUUACGUAAAUGUACUAACCCCCCUACCAUAUUCGAUUUCCUUUCCCCCCGGCUAAAUGGUGCCAGCUGGUGGUUGCUGAAAAAUGGCAGCUCAUUUGCGUGUACGUAUGGUCGAAGGACAUUUAAAAGGACGCAAUAAUCACAUCGUUAACAGCCCAUACACCUACGACAAUGGCAUCCUCACACCAGAGCAGCGAAAAUUUUAUGAUGGAAAUGGCUAUUUAGUUAUCCGUAAUUUGGUGAAACAUGAAGAGAUCAGAAAGUAUCUGCAAAGAUUUCAAGACAUAUCUUCAGGAAAAAUUCCAC
rnacentral:lncRNA from 1 species